CAGGACGAACGCUGGCGGCGUGCCUAAUACAUGCAAGUCGAACGAGAGCGACCGGUGCUUGCACUGGUCAAUCUAGUGGCGAACGGGUGAGUAACACGUGGGUAACCUGCCCAUCAGAGGGGGAUAACAUUCGGAAACGGAUGCUAAAACCGCAUAGGUUCUACAGUCGCAUGACUGAAGAAGGAAAAGAGGCUUCGGCUUCUGCUGAUGGAUGGACCCGCGGUGCAUUAGCUAGUUGGUGAGGUAACGGCUCACCAAGGCCGUGAUGCAUAGCCGACCUGAGAGGGUGAUCGGCCACAUUGGGACUGAGACACGGCCCAAACUCCUACGGGAGGCAGCAGUAGGGAAUCUUCCGCAAUGGACGCAAGUCUGACGGAGCAACGCCGCGUGAGUGAAGAAGGAUUUCGGUUCGUAAAACUCUGUUGUUAGAGAAGAACAGCGCAUAGAGUAACUGUUAUGCGUGUGACGGUAUCUAACCAGAAAGCCACGGCUAACUACGUGCCAGCAGCCGCGGUAAUACGUAGGUGGCAAGCGUUGUCCGGAUUUAUUGGGCGUAAAGCGAGCGCAGGCGGUCAAUUAAGUCUGAUGUGAAAGCCCCCGGCUCAACCGGGGAGGGUCAUUGGAAACUGGUUGACUUGAGUGCAGAAGAGGAGAGUGGAAUUCCAUGUGUAGCGGUGAAAUGCGUAGAUAUAUGGAGGAACACCAGUGGCGAAGGCGACUCUCUGGUCUGUAACUGACGCUGAGGCUCGAAAGCGUGGGUAGCAAACAGGAUUAGAUACCCUGGUAGUCCACGCCGUAAACGAUGAGUGCUAAGUGUUGGAGGGUUUCCGCCCUUCAGUGCUGCAGUUAACGCAUUAAGCACUCCGC
rnacentral:rRNA from 1 species